GGCGACAGGUGUCUCGAACGACA
rnacentral:siRNA from 1 species